rnacentral:rRNA from 1 species
CAUCUGCUACUAGAUAUUUUACACACAAAAAUAUCCGCCAGAGAACUACGAGCAAAAUGCUUAAAACUCUAAGGACUUGGCGGUACCUCAAACCCCCCUAGAGGAGCUUGUUCUAUAAAUCGAUAAUCCACGAUUCACCUCACCAUCUUUUGCCAAUCCCGCCUAUAUACCGCCAUCUUCAGCAAACA